UGGCAAAUACAAUACGCAAAACAACACAAAUAAUCCUCUUCACAAAGCCGGAUCGCCAGUCUAUCAUGGCUACCUCAAGAAUACAAUAACAGAAACUACAAGGCAAAAUGCAAGAAUUGAAUACACAUUUCACUAAAUAAAGAACUAUCACAAUGAGGAUACAUACACAGUCGGAGUCCUGAAGACCUCGGCCAACAAGCCGCCUCCCUACAGCUGAGUCAGUGAUGGGCUGACCAAUCUGAUGAAAGGACCCUUCUAUCCUAUGAGUCCAGUGCUCCUUUAAAAUCCUCAGAAUCUACCACUAAAUUCUGUACUUACUUUUCUACAAAUGUCCAUCUGAUACAAAUUCCUGAACCAACACAUGCAAAAACUAGUGAAAUAAAGAGAUUUGAUUGUGUGUUUCAAAUAUGAGUGUAGGUGGCAGAAUUAGCCUGUGAUUACAAAAUUAACUUGACAGAAACAAGAAACAGAAACCACUGUGACCCUUCAGGAGCUGCGUCAGAGGCCUCUACCUCUCUAAGGCCAAUCACUUUGAAACUGUGGCAGGAAAUGAAAAGCCGAAGCAAAUGUAUGAUGUUAGAAUAAAGUCUGUGCUCAGUAGUGUGGUCACUUUGCAGGUGCGAUGGUUUUACAGAAAUGCUGUUUGCCUCCCGGAAGCUGGGCUUUAAUCAUCUUGGAUGUCUCCCUCACCUCAGCGGUUCACUUUCUCCUCACUCCUCCUUCUGCCGCUGUUCUGGCUGGACAGACAGUUCGGUUCUCUUGCACUUUGAAAGAAGGGCAUUGUGAAAAUGUAAUUUUUUUUUGGCGGCAGACACACCUGUUUCCAAAUGGCUCUGAAUCCUCGAAAACUGAUAUUACCGAAGAAGGACGGUUUUCAAUAAGCAAUAGGCCACUCGGAAGCUCUCUAACCAUUAGAGCUGUGAAGCCCACAGACUGCGGUAACUUCACUUGUUCAGCUCUCUGUGUGAAGAUAAAAAAAGUUUCCUUAUGGGCGACGUCACAUCUGGAGGUGAAAGCUGUCCCCAAACUGAUACUCAUUUCUCAAGCAGCAACUGAGGACCCCAAUGUGCUGAACCUGACAUGUGCUGCUGUGGGUUUCUACCCUCCUAAUGUUUCAAUCUCCUGGCAUCAUUCUCUCCCUGCGUCACCUCACACCAUUCAGCAGGGUGACCCCACACUCCUACAGGAUGACACCUACAGCAGCAAAUCUACUCUGCAGGUUAGUGCCUCCCACUGGACCCUCGGGGAAGAGAUUGGGUGUAAGGUGGGCCACAGCUCUUUAAAACAGCCACUGAAAGAAAGCAUCCGGAAAGGAGUCAUGGUGCUGAUGUCAAGUGCUCCAGAUGUAAAUGGUGUGAUUACCCUGACAUGCGUUGCUGUGGGUUUCCACCCUCCUGACAUAACCCUGACCUGGGACCACUCUCUCGUGGGGAUGAUCCACACCACCCAGCAGGGAGCCUCUCCACUCCACCAGGACAAUAUCUACAGAAGUAGUUCCACUUUACAGGUCAGCACCUCCCAAUGGAGCCAAGGAGAGGAGAUCAGUUGUGUCGGGAACCAUAGCUCUCUGUCUCAGCCAUUGAAGGAGAGAAUCAGGAGAGAAGGGUCUAUCAGCCUCAGCAGACUUAGGUGGUGUCAUCUGAAGAUGGGACUCUUAUCCGUGGGACUGGUGCUGAUGAUAUUGUCUGUGACUGCGGCCCACAUGAAGACUACAAAGAAAAGGCAUCUGGAUGCUUAAUGUUUCGACCUAACUUGUCCUUCCUUAAAUGUGCAACUCUGCUUGUUCUUUCUUUUAACAAAGUUGCAUAUCCAUUGUUGACCAUUAGAGGGCAUCAGAACCUUUACAUGGAAGUAAGGCUAAAGAACACCUUGUACAGUAAAUGCAUCAAUGUACAAUAAAUUAUUUUUAAUAAAUUUGCAAACCUUUGUGAAAACAGGCUUUCACUUUGUCAUUAUGGGUCACUGAGUGUAGAUUGAU